rnacentral:rRNA from 1 species
CACUCCUGCGGGAGGCAGCAGUGGGGAAUUUUACGCAAUGGGGAAACCCUGACGUAGCGACACCGCGUGAGCGAAGAAGCCCUUUGGGGUGUAAAGCUCUGUCAGCUGGAACGAAAACAAUGACGGUACCAGCAGAGGAAGCAUCGGCUAACUACGUGCCAGCAGCCGCGGUAAGACGUAGGAUGCGAGCGUUGUCCGGAUUUAUUGGGCGUAAAGAGUUCGUAGGUGGUUUGUUAAGUUUGGUGUUAAAGAUGGGGGCUCAACCCUGGGACUGCACUGAAUACUGGCAGACUCGAGUGUGGUAGAGGCUAGUGGAAUUCCCAGUGUAGCGGUGAAAUGCGUAGAUAUUGGGAAGAACACCGGUGGCGUAGGCGACUAGCUGGGCCAUAACUGACGCUGAGGAACGAAAGCCAGGGGAGCGAAUGUGAUUAGAAACCCUUGUAGUCCC